rnacentral:rRNA from 1 species
AAGGGCAGGAACCGAGGUAAGCCAAUCCCACAAAUUGGUCUCAGUUGGAUAGCAGUCUGCAACUCGACUGCGUGAAGCUGGAAUCGCUAGUAAUCGCGGAUCAGCAUGCCGCGGUGAAUACGUUCCCGGGCCUUGUACACACCGCCCGUCACACCACUAGAGUCUGUAACGCAAGAAGUCGGUGAGGUAACUUUUUAGGAGCGAGCCGCCGAAGGUGGACAGAUAUUGGGUGU